CCCGUGCGAUCCCUGUUAUCCCUGCUAUCCUUGCGUUCCCGCUAGAGGUUGCAAGAGUCGUGAGCUACGAGGAGGGCUACUCAUUGCCAACUGUGAAUGUCUGAAACGAAAUGGUCUUCAACAUGAUUGCCCUCGUUCCGAGUGUCAGGGAAAACCAUGUCGUCUCACCAAACCGGAAGCCACCUGCUGUCCAUCGACGUACGCG